AGCGAACGCUGGCGGCAGGCCUAACACAUGCAAGUCGAACGGAUCCUUCGGGAUUAGUGGCGGACGGGUGAGUAACACGUGGGAACGUGCCCUUUGGUUCGGAACAACUCAGGGAAACUUGAGCUAAUACCGGAUGUGCCCUUCGGGGGAAAGAUUUAUCGCCAUUGGAGCGGCCCGCGUCUGAUUAGCUAGUUGGUGAGGUAAAGGCUCACCAAGGCGACGAUCAGUAGCUGGUCUGAGAGGAUGAUCAGCCACAUUGGGACUGAGACACGGCCCAAACUCCUACGGGAGGCAGCAGUGGGGAAUCUUGCGCAAUGGGCGAAAGCCUGACGCAGCCAUGCCGCGUGAAUGAUGAAGGUCUUAGGAUUGUAAAGCUCUUUUGGCGGGGUACGAUGAUGACGGUACCCGCAGAAUAAGCCCGGCUAACUUCGUGCCAGCAGCCGCGGUAAU
rnacentral:rRNA from 1 species